CCUACGGGCGGCAGCAGUGGGGAAUAUUGCACAAUGGGCGCAAGCCUGAUGCAGCCAUGCCGCGUGUGUGAAGAAGGCCUUCGGGUUGUAAAGCACUUUCAGCGGGGAGGAAGGCGGUGAGGUUAAUAACCUCAUCGAUUGACGUUACCCGCAGAAGAAGCACCGGCUAACUCCGUGCCAGCAGCCGCGGUAAUACGGAGGGUGCAAGCGUUAAUCGGAAUUACUGGGCGUAAAGCGCACGCAGGCGGUCUGUCAAGUCGGAUGUGAAAUCCCCGGGCUCAACCUGGGAACUGCAUUCGAAACCGGCAGGCUAGAGUCUUGUAGGGGGGGGUAGAAUUCCAGGUGUAGCGGUGAAAUGCGUAGAGAUCUGGAGGAAUACCGGUGGCGAAGGCGGCCCCCUGGACAAAGACUGACGCUCAGGUGCGAAAGCGUGGGGAGCAAACAGGAUUAGAUACCCUUGUAGUC
rnacentral:rRNA from 1 species